rnacentral:lncRNA from 1 species
CCUUUGGACGACGAAAAAUCCCAAUCUUCAUCGUCGGUCGCAUAGUUGGUUGAUGAUUGUUGCUUCAAGCAAUUUCCCAUUUUUUAUUUGCUAUUUUUUUGUAUUUCUUUUGCCUCUUUAAAAUUUGAGUGUUAUUUUGCCUAUGCAAAGAUGAGAGAGAGGGAGAGAAAGAGAGAGAGAUUUCUUUUGAAGAUGGGAGAGAGUUGGGUGAUAUAUAGGAGAGAAAAAAUUGAAGAUGCAUGGAAUGGAGUAAAAGAUGAGGAAU